rnacentral:rRNA from 1 species
AUUGAACGCUGGCGGCAGGCCUAACACAUGCAAGUCGAGCGAGCGGCGGACGGGUGAUUAAUAUAUAGGGACUGCCCGAUAGAGGGGGAUAACUACUGGAAACGGUAGCUAAUCCCGCAUACUAUCGGAUAACCCAUAUGGGAUUAGCUAGUAGGUGAGGUAAUGGCUCACCUAGGCGACGAUCCCUAGCUGGUCUGAGAGGAUGAUCAGCCACACUGGAACUGAGACACGGUCCAGACUCCGACGGAGGCAGCAGUGGGGAAUAUUGGACAAUGGGCGAAAGCCUGAUGCAGCCAUGCCGCGUGUAUGAAGAAGGCCUUAGGAUUGUAAAGUACUUUCAGUCGGGAGGCGUUACCGACAGAAUAAGCACCGGCUAACUACGUGCCAGCAGCCGCGGUAAUUC